rnacentral:piRNA from 1 species
AGACCAUCGGGGGAGGAGAUGACUC